rnacentral:rRNA from 1 species
AUGCAGAAGGCAUGGAGACUUCAUCACGAGGCAAGGUUCUGGGACAUGGGCGACAACAUCUUCGUAGUCCACUUUGGUAGUGAAGGAGACUGGAGGCAUGCAAUGUCUAGCGGACCGUGGCAAUAUGAUUUCAACGUGCUGGUUCUAAAGGAGUACGAGAGCAACAUACGACCCUCAGAGAUGGUCUUCGACAAAGUGGAUGUGUGGGUUAGAGUGACAGAUCUACCACCCGGGAAGAGAACUGAUGCAUUUGGUAGAGCUCUUGGCAAUUGGCUAGGUGAGGUUGUCAAGGUGGAUGUGGAUAAAGAUGGUAUGGCCAGAGGUAAUCAGCUGUGA